CAGGAAGUUAAGGGUUCCUUCUUUCAUCUUCAAGGCUGCACACAGCAGGCAGCAACAGAGAUUUUUCACUCCUUAUUCAAUCUGGUGAAGAAAUGAAAAGAGGAGUUUGUCUGACUGUCAACCUACGAGCACCAAACACGUGGAGGACUGUACACACACCUGUGGAGGAUGUAGAGGACCAUCUCUUUGCUUCCUGCACUGGCAGCGUGAUGACGUAACCUGCAGCCGGACGAGUCGAGUGACGUGAGGUCGGCUCCCUCCAGGUGCGGCUCCCUCCAGGUGGGGCUCCCUCCAGGUGCGGCUCCCUCCCUCCAGGUGCGGCUCCCUCCAGGUGGGGCUCCCUCCAGGUGCGGCUCCCUCCAGGUGGGGCUCCCUCCAGGUGCGGCUCCUGCAGCUGAUGAUUCAAUUCAAAGACACGUGGGCAGCCUGACCAAAACAAGACAAAGAGCUGUUAACAUGUAUGCUACACCACGCUGCCUCACCUGCUUCCUUCAACAUUUGGUGUGAACUCUGAAGAGUAGGAUCUGUGCUGCAGCUGGAAGGAUUUUCUUUAGAUUAAAGUUAACUUGUUAGCUGUUUUUAUCUUUAAGCUAUAGAUUUAGUUUAAAGUCUGUUUUCUUUCUUUUUCAUUUGCAGUUUUCUGUUAACACACUUUGAUUUAAAAAAAAGUCUUAAUUUGUCUGAUGUUUGUGUUGUCAGCAUCUUUAAUUCCUAAUAGAUGUUUUGUAGUUGUUACCUUCUUUCACAGCUGUGAACUUGAGCUGUUAGAUUUGUUUGAAGACUACAAUAAAUAAAACACACCUGGCAGAUAACCAGAGCCUCACAGAUACAGAAGUCAUGAUGAUGCAGAAUGGACACAGCAGUAGUUUUAUUAAAAUAAAAUAUUGACCAGA